rnacentral:rRNA from 1 species
GAUGAACGCUAGCGGGAGGCUUAACACAUGCAAGUCGAGCGGGAUUAGCAGCAAUGCUAUGAGAGCGGCGCACGGGUGCGUAACGCGUAUGCAACCUGCCUUAUACAGGGGAAUAGCCCAUGGAAACGUGGAUUAAUGUCCCAUAGGAUCACGGUAUCGCAUGGUAUUGUGAUUAAAACUGAGGUGGUAUAAGAUGGGCAUGCGUUUGAUUAGGUAGUUGGUGAGGUAAUGGCUCACCAAGCCGACGAUCAGUAGGGGUUCUGAGAGGAUUACCCCCCACACUGGUACUGAGACACGGACCAGACUCCUACGGGAGGCAGCAGUGAGGAAUAUUGGUCAAUGGCCGGAAGGCUGAACCAGCCAUCCCGCGUGCAGGAUGACGGCCCUAUGGGUUGUAAACUGCUUUUGUACCUGAAGAAACCUGGUUACGUGUAACCAGUUGCCGGUAAGGUAUGAAUAAGCAUCGGCUAACUCCGUGCCAGCAGCCGCCGUAA